GAUGAACGCUGGCGGCGUGCCUAAUACAUGCAAGUCGAGCGAACGGACGAGAAGCUUGCUUCUCUGAUGUUAGCGGCGGACGGGUGAGUAACACGUGGAUAACCUACCUAUAAGACUUGGAUAACUUCGGGAAACCGGAGCUACUACCGGAUAAUAUUUUGAACCGCAUGGUUCAAAAGUGAAAGACGGUCUUGCUGUCACUUAUAGAUGGAUCCGCGCUGCAUUAGCUAGUUGGUAAGGUAACGGCUUACCAAGGCAACGAUGCAUAGCCGACCUGAGAGGGUGAUCGGCCACACUGGAACUGAGACACGGUCCAGACUCCUACGGGAGGCAGCAGUAGGGAAUCUUCCGCAAUGGGCGAAAGCCUGACGGAGCAACGCCGCGUGAGUGAUGAAGGUCUUCGGAUCGUAAAACUCUGUUAUUAGGGAAGAACAUAUGUGUAAGUAACUGUGCACAUCUUGACGGUACCUAAUCAGAAAGCCACGGCUAACUACGUG
rnacentral:rRNA from 1 species